GUGCGAAGGGCCCAGCGGAGGGGUGUAAAUCUCCUACUAUUGUUGAGACCUCUCUAACGAUUGUAUCUAACCUUCGUACAUAAGUCACAGCCGUUUCGUAGGACGCGUGGAUUGCAUAUUUUGUUAGGGUUUCACGGCGUCUGAAACCGCGGCAACAUUGAC
rnacentral:snoRNA from 1 species